UGGCGGGGCUGGAGGCACAGCCUCCCCGUCCGGGGCAAGUCCGAGAGCGGGGAGGGCGUUUCCUGGGGUAACUCCACCUGGGGUCUUGUCGAAGUUGCCGCAUCUCCGCCGGACCGCACGGGAACGACGUGCCCACACUCGGAGGAAGGGGUUGGCGCUGAGCGAGUUUAAAGGGUUCCUUUUGAAAGCAGGAAGUUUGAAGUGACGUUGCAUCAGCAACAGAGCAUGCAGUUUCAGGUGCUCUCGGGACAGCUUUCAGUUUCUCAGAACAAGUCUAAGCCUCACCGCAGUAAUAACUUUUAUUAGAGGACAAAAAAUCCGCCAAAGUAAACCCUUUCUGUCCAACCCCUAAAAACCUUUGGAUAAACGUUUACAAGAAACGGAUCACAGCCUUAUUUGUUUUUCUAAACUGAGCAUAAACUCUUUUGAAGACUCAGCGUUACUGUCAAAAUGAAUGAGUGCCUGCCUAGUUAUGAUUCAAUUAUCGAGGUGUUUGGGUCUCUGCAGUACACUCAGUGACUCCCAGGCUUUUCUUUUUUCUCUUUGAAAUUGCUUAUUAGAAGGCUUUAUCUAAUUUCUCACAGUUGUGUGUCUUUUUGAGGUAGUUCUAAUAAACUUUAAAGGCUUCUGGUUUGCUGCAGGCCUGCCGUCGCUGUGGAAAGCAAGUAUUCUUUCAAAGAAGAAUAGAAGUGCAUUGGUUUCUAAAUAAUCCCAGGACGCUAGGAUCAGCAUCACUUGGGAACUUCUUGGAAAUGCACAUUUUGGGGUCUUAUCCCAAACUUACUGAAUCAGAAAUAUAUUUUAACAAGCCUUCCAGUUGAUACCAAUGCACCUGGACGCUAAAGUUUGAGAAUUAAUGGCGUAGUGAUAACACCCAUUGUGGAAUCACAUAUAAUGGAAUUUGAAUUGAAGUAAUUCCUAGAUGGAAAAACUUGGACAUGUUACCUCACAGGGCUGGAAUAUGAAGAUGCAAGAAAAAUGUUUAACACAAAACACAUAGAAAACCCUCAAAGAUGUUAUUAAGUAACUUAUUAGAACUGCAUAAAAUAAGUACAUAGUUUGUGCUGGAAGGAUUCUUCAGCGGGGUAGAUAUGAGCUGUAGCGCAUGGAUAUUGGGACUGCUGCUUAGAGGGUAUUUUGUUUACCUCGGGAUUCUCAAUUCUGUGUAGUCAAGGUUGUUGGAUGCAGGAUAUUCAGUUAAAAGUUAAAGCAGUGCAUACUAAUGCUAUUGUGGUUGUAGGAUUUUUAAGAAUAGCAUUAGUAUUUAUGUUGAAGAGUAGUUUUUAAUUCUUUGGCCUUCUGAUCUCUUCAGCUUUGUUUGGAGACAGUCUCUUUCUGCCACCCAGGCUGGAGUGCAAUGGUGCAAUCUUGGAUCACUGUAACCGCUGCCUCCAGGGUUCAAACGAUUCUCCUGCCUCAGCUUCCCAGGUAGCUGGGAUUACAGGCGUCUGCCACCACGCCCAGCUAAUUUUUGUAUUUUUAGUAGAGACGGUUUCACCACGUUUGCCAAGCUGGUCCCGAACUCCUGACCUCAGGUAAUCCACCUGCCUCGUCUUCAGUUUAGUUAUACCUUCUUUGACCCAGAAUUUGGUAAAGACCAGAGGGGUCCAUUGUAGGGGGAGAAAGAAAUAUUCAGGAUUUAAAGCAGCUGCUCUAAAGGCUACAUUCACUGCAAUGUUGAGAAGGGAGCCUCUUAAACAGAAUCUUACCUGUAAAACUCAGGAGCCGAGAAGCUUUAAGAACAGUGAGGUUGAAGGGCACAGGCUCUUGGUCCUUGGCAGCGAUAUUAGGAGGCGUGCCUAGGGAACCUCGGAUUCCGGGGAGCUGGACGUGAAACUCUGUGGUGGAAUAGAAAUCCUCAGGGCAUGAGCUAUACCUAAAACG
rnacentral:lncRNA from 1 species